UGCAAGUCGAACGGUGAAGCCCAGCUUGCUGGGUGGAUCAGUGGCGAACGGGUGAGUAACACGUGAGCAACCUGCCCCUGACUCUGGGAUAAGCGCUGGAAACGGCGUCUAAUACUGGAUACGAGACGUGAUCGCAUGGUCGACGUCUGGAAAGAUUUUUUGGUUGGGGAUGGGCUCGCGGCCUAUCAGCUUGUUGGUGAGGUAAUGGCUCACCAAGGCGUCGACGGGUAGCCGGCCUGAGAGGGUGACCGGCCACACUGGGACUGAGACACGGCCCAGACUCCUACGGGAGGCAGCAGUGGGGAAUAUUGCACAAUGGGCGCAAGCCUGAUGCAGCAACGCCGCGUGAGGGAUGACGGCCUUCGGGUUGUAAACCUCUUUUAGCAAGGAAGAAGCGAAAGUGACGGUACUUGCAGAAAAAGCGCCGGCUAACUACGUGCCAGCAGCCGCGGUAAUACGUAGGGCGCAAGCGUUAUCCGGAAUUAUUGGGCGUAAAGAGCUCGUAGGCGGUUUGUCGCGUCUGCUGUGAAAUCCCGAGGCUCAACCUCGGGUCUGCAGUGGGUACGGGCAGACUAGAGUGCGGUAGGGGAGAUUGGAAUUCCUGGUGUAGCGGUGGAAUGCGCAGAUAUCAGGAGGAACACCGAUGGCGAAGGCAGAUCUCUGGGCCGUAACUGACGCUGAGGAGCGAAAGGGUGGGGAGCAAACAGGCUUAGAUACCCUGGUAGUCCACCCCGUAAACGUUGGGAACUAGUUGUGGGGUCCUUUCCACGGAUUCCGUGACGCAGCUAACGCAUUAAGUUCCCCGCCUGGGGAGUACGGCCGCAAGGCUAAAACUCAAAGGAAUUGACGGGGACCCGCACAGCGGCGGAGCAUGCGAUUAUUCGAUGCACGCGAGACUUACAGGCUUGACAUACACGAGACACCUAGAAUAGGGACUCUUUGACACUCGU
rnacentral:rRNA from 1 species